AAAGUUUUGGAAUUGGGAAGAGGAGUGGGUGAGAGGUAAAUAAAUGUGGAUAAAUGUGAGUGGAAUGGAGUAAAAAGGUGAAUGAAUGGGGAAAAUAAAAAGGUGGGGGGGUAACGGUCAUGACUCUAACGGUCAUCAACGUUCACGAGGAAACACGUUGUCACGCUCAUGACAGAAUGUGUUACGGGUGUCAUGGAUUGCGUGGCGACCGUGACAACUUGUGUGACG
rnacentral:lncRNA from 1 species